GCCCUCGGUGGCUCAUUUGGAUAGAGCGUCUGCCCCCUAAGCAGGAGAGACCGGGUUCGAUUCCCGGUCGGGGCA